AAGAAGUCAGGCCACUACAAGUGCCAUAACUUGAGCAAAUUAUGCAGCCUGUAGCUCCACCUGGGAAGGUGUAAAAAAUCUGGGAGGCCACAAACCAUGGAAGCUGUACGCAUGGCGUAGUGGACUAGCGGUUAGAGGAGACCCCUCCCUUGCAAAUCGCAGCAACAAUGGGGGCCCAAGGUGAGAUGAAGCUGUAGUCUCACUGGAAGGACUAGAGGUUAGAGGAGACCCCCCCGAAACAAAAAACAGCAUAUUGACGCUGGGAAAGACC
rnacentral:lncRNA from 1 species